rnacentral:rRNA from 1 species
CAAUAGCGUAUAUUAAAGUUGUUGCAGUUAAAAAGCUCGUAGUUGGAUUUCUGGUCGGAAGCUCCUGUCCUCUGAUGAGCGUACAAGUGCGUCCUACCGUCCUUCUGUUAACCUUUAAGGCUUUCGCGGCUUUCUAGGGGCUCAGAUAUUUUACCUUGAGAAAAUUAGAGUGUUUCAGGCAGGCUAGCGCCGGAAUACAUUAGCAUGGAAUAAUGGAAUAGGACUUUUGCCUCUUCUGUUGGUCAUGAGGCUCGAGUAAUGAUUAAUAGGGAUAGUUGGGGGCAUUAGUACUUAACUGUCAGAGGUGAAAUUCUCGGAUUUGUUAAAGACUAACUUAUGCGAAAGCAUUUGCCAAGGAUGUUUUCAUUA